UUUAUAACUAAGUCCCUCAAGUACGUAUAAAUUAAGAGCAACAAGGACUCCACAAUUUCAGACCCAGAAAAAAAAGACGGGAAUCUCUGCAACUUUCAGCUCUCCAUUUCUUCUUCCUUUUUUUUUUCCGGUUCAAAAUCGUAAAUUUGUCUCUCCUUCAAUAGAUUUAAGUGUUUCCCUUUCUUUGGGGGGGAUUUUUAGUUGUAAUGGACGAAGGGGAGCUCGAUUUUUCAAACCACGAAGUGUUUUCUGGUGGCAAUAGCAUGGGUGAUAUUCCAAGCAGUUGCUCGAUGGACAGUUUUUUCAAUGAAAUACUCAAUGAUUCUCAUGCAUGUACGCAUACACACACUUGCAACCCACCUGGCCCUGAUAAUUCUCAUACACACACCUGUUUCCAUGUUCAUACCAAAAUCGUGCCUGCCUCAACUGAAGAUGAAGCUGCUGCUGAUGACACAGAGGGUUCUAGGGAGAAGAAACCAAAGAAACGAUCUUUGGGUAAUCGAGAAGCUGUUAGGAAGUAUAGGCAAAAGGUUAAGGCACGAGCAGCCUCGUUGGAAGACGAGGUUGUCAGGUUGAGGACAUUGAACCAGCAGCUGUUGAAGAGAUUGCAAGGGCAAGCUGCAUUGGAGGCUGAGAUUGCACGACUUAAGUGUUUGCUUGUGGAUGUUCGAGGAAGAAUUGAAGGGGAGAUUGGUUCGUUUCCUUAUCAGAAACCAACAGCUAAUAAUGUUAACACCUUGAAUUUGCCUGGUGCUUAUUUGAUGAAUCCCUGCAAUAUACAAUGCAAUGAUCAGAUGUAUUGCCUUCAACCCGAGGUCGAAGGUAAUACAGGAGAAGCCACAGCGCUGGACGGACAUGGAUUUAAUGGGUGUGAGUUUGAUGAUAUUCAAUGCUUAGCAAGUCAAAACUCUGGAGCAAAGGAGCUUCCUGGAGGUGGGGUUGGAAGUGCAGCGUCCAAUGGCAAUUCUUCUGGCACAAAAAGGAGAAAAGGUGUUCGUCCAGCUACAGCAGGUUAAAGAACUGUUGAGGCGAGCAUUAUCCAUAUUUUAUGGGGUACAUAUUUGUCUUCCAACAAGCAGGUUUCUUUUGGAUCCAUCACCCUCCCUCAGAAUUUAAGGUGGAAUAUCUAUGAUGUUUCAAAUACUGUGAGGUGUGAGCCCCCAUAGCAGGUGAGUUUCAAGUUUUCACUCCCUGCAGUCCCCUAGCUUGCGAUUGACAUUGGUAGCUUACAAAGUUUUUGGUUUUAGGAAGGCCGGAGAUGCCUGCUCAAAGAGGGUAAGUGCCAUCUUUUAACCGAGGUUUUGAUCAAUGAAUGUCUGAUGAGAAACUCGUAGUUGUAGAACGGUGAGGGAGUCGUUGAAUGUUACAGUUUUUUCCUGUAACUGCUAACUGUGCCUAACAAUAGCCGCGUUCGAGCUUGUUAGUUGCCACAAAUGUGGCUCUCAAAUUGGAAAAAAAGAUGGUUGAACUGUUUAGUUGGCAAAGAUAAAAUGAGUACUUGAUCUUGAAUUUCCUUUUA